GACCCUCCCCCGGACUUACGCCGAGCUACUGGAGCACGCAUACAAGUAUAUGCGCGCGGACGAAGGAGCGUCCGAUCGACGCUUGGCCGAGCCCAGAGGCCCGAAAGAGAAGCGGAGGAAAGGUCGGGAGCCCGCCGAACCCAGCAGGCCACCGACCGAUAGUCGGGUCUCACCACCCCGACGAAUCCAAAAGCCACCCCGGCAGCAGACUCCA
rnacentral:lncRNA from 1 species